UUCGCCCCUGCUCCUCUCCAAAGUGCUUCAGCGCCUUCAUAAACUAAGAAGAGAAGACGAGUGAAAUUAAGCACAUCAGUCAAACAAUAAUCACUGGAGAAGGAGUAGAAAGUAAUCAGUUCUGCUGAAUGAAGGUGAACAUCACUGAACAUCUGUGAAGCCCAAAGGCAGGAUAAUGAGGCUGAUAAGGCAGCACUGUGUACACAUACAAACAAAUUGUGAUGCCAUUGUAGAGCUGCAGUCAGACAACUGUAUCCCGCCAGCUUUCUCACCGCUGCCUUAUCUGCCUGCUGAUCUGUAUACUGAGCAAGCUGCAUCAGUUACAGCUACAUCCAUCAACACUGCAUUCACCAACAACCACAAUUCUAUCUGUCUCUCCUGUGUGUGUGAUUGAUGAGACCAUGCAUGAUUUGACUACCAUAUGUCCUCUCUUAUCACUACCACCUGUCCAAUGACCAAGGGCCAGAGGAGAGAGAAAGAGAGCAAAAUAGAUAGGUUUCCAUUUCCCUGUAGAAUAAAAUGUAAAAAUGCACAAUGAAUGGAAAAGGCAGAAUUUUGUUUUCUGUGAAUAAAGGAUAAGAGUGAA